CCUACGGGCGGUAGCAGUGAGGAAUAUUGGUCAAUGGUCGGGAGACUGAACCAGCCAAGCCGCGUGAGGGAUGAAGGUACAGAGUAUCGUAAACCUCUUUUGUCAGGGAACAAAGGCGGGGACGCGUCCCCGGAUGAGUGUACCUGAAGAAAAAGCAUCGGCUAACUCCGUGCCAGCAGCCGCGGUAAUACGGAGGAUGCGAGCUUUAUCCGGAUAUAUUGGUUUAAAGGGGUGCGCAGGCGGUCUGUUAAGUCAGCGGUAAAAGCCCGGGGCACACCCCCGGCCCGCCGUUGAAACUGGCAGUCUCGAGUUGGAGAGAAGUAUGCGGAAUGCGCGGUGUAGCGGUGAAAUGCAUAGAUAUCGCGCAGAACUCCGAUUGCGAAGGCAGCAUGCCGGCUCCACACUGACGCUGAGGCACGAAAGCGUGGGUAUCGAACAGGAUUAGAUACCCCUGUAGUC
rnacentral:rRNA from 1 species